AGAAGCAAAAACAAAUAAGAAUGAUUAACCCGAUUGGUUAAGAAGAAACAGAGAGAAAACUCUGAAACCCUAAGGAAGACGUAGUCCCCUCUCUCGAUCUCUGUCCUCUCUCUCUCCCUCCACCACUUUGCUUUGCUCAAUCAAAUUUGCGCGGGAAACCAGACCAACCGCUUUCUCCCGUUUCCCUGCUUCUGGGAUUCGAAGAGGUGCUUAGAUACAAGCUCCGUAGCUAGAAUUGAUUUCUCCACGAGAUCUGGGGCUUGUUCCAACGUUGUGAUCAUGCAAAAGCAAUUGAGAGCUGUUCGAUAAAGAAGAUGGAGCCUGAACGUACCAAUUUUGGAGGUCCGAGAGAGUUGUGUGGUGCGGUGGAUCUUAUAUCUCAGUACAAACUACUGCAACACCAUGAGUUCUUUUGCAAAAGAUCGCUUUCUGCGUCUCUUUCAGAUUCUCAUUAUCUUCAUGAUGUGGUUGGGGACACUGAGAUUAGAAAAGGAGAUGGAAUGCAGUUAGACCAGCUUACUCAGAGUAAUACGUUACAGAGCCGGGAGAGUAAUAAUACCCGCAUCCAACCUUUUGAUAUGGAUAAGCUUAAGGAGGCUUUCCAGCUUAAUGAUGUGACUCCUGUCGAAUUGCCUCUAGCAGAGAAGGGGGCUCCAACAAUUCCACCAAAGUCAAAACGUGAGUCCAAAGAUAAGGACAGGAAACAUAAAAAACACAAGGACAGGGAUAAGGACAAAGAUAGAGAGCAUAAGAAGCACAAGCACAGGCAUAAAGACAGAAGCAAAGAUAAAGACAAGGACCGAGACAGAAAAAAGGAGAAAAAUGGCCACCACGAUUCGGGUGAUCACUCUAAGAAACAUCAUGAUAAGAAAAGGAAACAUGAUGGGGAUGAAGAUCUAAAUGACGUUCAUAGGCACAAGAAAAACAAGCAUAGGAGCUCAAAGCUUGAUGAGUUGGGUGCUAUAAGGGUUGCUGGCUAAAAUUGGUAGACAAUCCCAAUUUUUUGUAUUCUGCAAUCCUAUAGGUGUCACGGAAGAGGUUUAGAAGCAGUUUUCAACUCACUGUAGACUAUAUAUUAGGUUAAAAAUUUCAAAAAUGGUGGAUUCAUUCGUUGAAGGUGAAAUUUGUGAAGAAGAAGAAAAAGCAGAACUUGUAUUUCAUUUGAUUUAGUGACACUUUGUAACAUUUUGGUCUUUGGAGUUUUUUUAUUAUUCCAUCUCUUUUCUGUCUAUAAAAUCAACACUACUCUGAAUGUUUACUAUUCAUGUAAAAUAAUUAGUAAUCCAAUUAGUGUUGCUGAA